rnacentral:rRNA from 1 species
UACGGGGGGGGCAAGCGUUGUUCGGAAUUACUGGGCGUAAAGGGCUCGUAGGUGGCCAACUAAGUCAGGCGUGAAAUCCCUCGGCUUAACCGGGGAACUGCGUCUGAUACUGGAUGGCUUGAGUGUGGGAGAGGGAUGCGGAAUUCCAGGUGUAGCGGUGAAAUGCGUAGAUAUCUGGAGGAACACCGGUGGCGAAGGCGGCAUCCUGGACCGGUAUUGACGCUGAGGCGCGAAAGCCAGGGGAGCAAACGGG